rnacentral:rRNA from 1 species
CCUACGGGGCGCAGCAGUGAGGAAUAUUGGUCAAUGGGCGUAAGCCUGAACCAGCCAAGUCGCGUGAGGGAUGAAGGUUCUAUGGAUCGUAAACCUCUUUUAUAAGGGAAUAAAGUGUGGGACGUGUCCUGUUUUGUAUGUACCUUAUGAAUCAGGAUCGGCUAACUCCGUGCCAGCAGCCGCGGUAAUACGGAGGAUCCGAGCGUUCUCCGGAUUUAUUGGGUUUAAAGGGUGCGUAGGUGGCCUUUUAAGUCAGCGGUGAAAGUCUGUGGCUCAACCAUAGAAUUGCCGUUGAAACUGGGAGGCUUGAGUAUGUUUGAGGCAGGCGGAAUGCGUGGUGUAGCGGUGAAAUGCUUAGAUAUCACGCAGAACCCCGAUUGCGAAGGCAGCCUGCCAAGCCAUGACUGACGCUGAUGCACGAAAGCGUGGGGAUCAAACAGGAUUAGAUACCCCUGUAGUC